GGGGCUGACUGGUUUCGACAGCAAGGUCAGUAGGUAAGUAAGCAUGCAGAGAACCGUAGCGCGAUCUCUUUAAUCCCUUGCUACAAAGUUUAACUGGCAACGAAGAGUUUGCUCUUGCUGCUUAAUCCGAAGUAUUAGUAGGAUAAGCCUUUUCCCGAAGUAUAGUAAGGAAACAAGAUGUCUCACGGAAGCUCUGUUCUGCGGCGUCCGAGUAUGAGGCAUAGGAAAUGCGGAAAUAAGCCUUUAGAAGCUUUGGCUAAAGGACGAAAACCUUAAAAGAUAAGCAUAAAGUUGGCGGUCUGUUGUCUGCUUUAUGACGAAAACUAAAAAUAGACUAAGCAUGUAGAAAGCUUGCGUAUUGCUUGUUUGGACGAGGGUUCGAAUCCCUCCAGCUCCACAA
rfam:Riemerella anatipestifer RA-CH-1, complete genome.